CAUCUUUCUUAAUAGGUGCAGAUCUAAUUACAAUAUUAACAAUUUAUAUGUCAAUAAUAUUUGCUUCCAUCAUUUUGUUGUUUCUCAAUAAAUCAUUUUCACCAUCAUUCAAAUGCAAUCUAUGUAAUAAUUUUUUUAACCUCCAAAUUCAAUUUUUCAAUUCAACUCUUGAAAUGUUCUAAAACAUCUUUUGAAUUCACACUUUUUUAUCACAAUGG
rnacentral:lncRNA from 1 species